CCUACGGGAGGCAGCAGUGGGGAAUAUUGGGCAAUGGGCGCAAGCCUGACCCAGCAACGCCGCGUGAAGGAAGAAGGCUUUCGGGUUGUAAACUUCUUUUGUCAGGGAAGAGUAGAAGACGGUACCUGACGAAUAAGCCACGGCUAACUACGUGCCAGCAGCCGCGGUAAUACGUAGGUGGCAAGCGUUGUCCGGAUUUACUGGGUGUAAAGGGCGUGUAGCCGGGUUGACAAGUCAGAUGUGAAAUCCUGCGGCUUAACCGGAGAACUGCAUUUGAAACUGUUGAUCUUGAGUACUGGAGAGGCAGACAGAAUUCCUAGUGUAGCGGUGAAAUGCGUAGAUAUUAGGAGGAACACCAGUGGCGAAGGCGGUCUGCUGGACAGCAACUGACGGUGAGGCGCGAAAGCGUGGGGAGCAAACAGGAUUAGAUACCCCAGUAGUC
rnacentral:rRNA from 1 species